rnacentral:rRNA from 1 species
AGUCAAUAGAUACCCUGGUAGUCCACGCCCUAAACGAUGUCAACUAGUUGUCGGGUCUUAAUUGACUUGGUAAACGCAGCUAAACGCGUGAAGUUGACCGCCUGGGGAGUACGGUCGCAAGAUUAAAACUCAAAGGAAUUGACGGGGACCCGCACAAGCGGUGGAUGAUGUGGAUUAAAUUCGAUGCAACGCGAAAAACCUUACCUACCCUUGACAUGGCAGGAAUCCCGGAGAGAUCCGGGAGUGCCCGAAAGGGAACCUGCACACAGGUGCUGCAUGGCUGUCGUCAGCUCGUGUCGUGGGAUGUUGGGUUAAGUCCCGCAACGAGCGCAACCCUUGUCAUUAGUUGCUACGAAAGGGCACUCUAAUGAGACUGCCGGUGACAAACCGGAGGAAGGUGGGGAUGACGUCAAGUCCUCAUGGCCCUUAUGGGUAGGGCUUCACACGUCAUACAAUGGUACAUACAGAGGGCCGCAACCCGCGAGGGGGAGCUAAUCCCAGAAAGUGUAUCGUAGUCCGGAUUGCAGUCUGCAACUCGACUGC